rnacentral:snRNA from 1 species
GUGUGUGAGGUUAAUUUGGCUAUCACCUCUGACACUCUGGUCACUCUGGUCACUGAUUUGGCUGACUUUGACGGACAGGCAGGUGCCCUUCCCCCCUCACCACUCCUUGUACAUUCCUUCCAAACUUGGAUGCUCAGGGAUGAUGAUGCCCUUCCUAAGUGGAAAACUGUUGUUCUGUCAAGAGUACACUAAUGACUUUGCUCUCUUGCUAAGACCCCCAACAAGCUCUCAAGGAAGUAAGUCACUGAUGGAGAGUCCAUGGUUACCUUAUGCUGACUCCUACC